UACGUAGGGUGCAAGCGUUGUCCGGAAUUAUUGGGCGUAAAGAGCUCGUAGGCGGUCUGUCGCGUCGGCUGUGAAAACCCGAGGCUCAACUUCGGGCCUGCAGUCGAUACGGGCAAACUAGAGUACUGCAGGGGAGACUGGAAUUCCUGGUGUAGCGGUGAAAUGCGCAGAUAUCAGGAGGAACACCGGUGGCGAAGGCGGGUCUCUGGGCAGUAACUGACGCUGAGGAGCGAAAGCGUGGGGAGCGAACAGG
rnacentral:rRNA from 1 species